rnacentral:rRNA from 1 species
AUUGAACGCUGGCGGCAUGCCUUACACAUGCAAGUCGAACGGCAGCACGGGAGCAAUCCUGGUGGCGAGUGGCGAACGGGUGAGUAAUAUAUCGGAACGUGCCCAGUCGUGGGGGAUAACGUAGCGAAAGCUACGCUAAUACCGCAUACGAUCUAUGGACGAAAGCGGGGGAUCGCAAGACCUCGCGCGAUUGGAGCGGCCGAUAUCAGAUUAGGUAGUUGGUGAGGUAAAGGCUCACCAAGCCGACGAUCUGUAGCUGGUCUGAGAGGACGACCAGCCACACUGGGACUGAGACACGGCCCAGACUCCUACGGGAGGCAGCAGUGGGGAAUUUUGGACAAUGGGCGCAAGCCUGAUCCAGCAAUGCCGCGUGCAGGAUGAAGGCC